GUUCGUUUACACUUAAAACGUGAACGUCAUCGCCGUCGUUACACAAACGCAUCCGAAUAUAAAGAUGAGUGUACCGUACGCGCGUAUAGUUAUAUAGAAUAUUAUUACUCGCAGCCACGUUUGAUGCCGUUCGUCUUAUACGCCUGGUACAAUGGCACGACCGAUUGCAAACGGUUUAGUGCAAAAAUCAACGGAUGUGAGAAAAACAAUUUGAAAUGAACUAUGAAGUGAAAAAAAUUAGGACAAGGUAGUUACACAGGUGUAUUUUAGUGUCAUCUGUUAUCGUAGUUUAGACUAUACGACAUGGUAUAUUUAGUUAAACAAAACGAAGUAUAUUAAACUACAUUAAAAUAAAAACUAUCAUCGUCGCAUUAUGAUGUUACAUUACAACUGCAAUAAAUUUAAACUCAAAAACUACUUGACAGAUUUUAACGAAAGUUUCGGAAAUUGUUUUUAGAGAAAUGAGGAAAGUUUAGAAAGUAGUUUGAAUCACUUUCCGAAAUAUAUAAAGUGUUAUAUCAAAUCCACCAUACACAGUUGGUAUAUCACGUUCGAAUUAGUUUACAAAGCGAGCUACACCACCGACGUCAACAGGUGCGUGAAUUAAUAGGUAUACUAAAAUAGAGAUACACUAAUACUGUGCCGUAUUUUAUAACCGCUCAUUUUAAUCGCACAAAUUAUAGUUAUAUAAUAUA